UUACCAAGAAGAUUAAGAUGAGAUUGA
rnacentral:sRNA from 1 species